CAAAGAAAGUGUGAAGUAACGGCCGUGCCUCCUUUCUGGACCCUGGCUGCACGGGGGGCGCUGCGAGCCCGGCCUGGUGUCUGCUGUCUCAGCGUCUUUUUAGGAAGCGUGUUGGCCUCAGAGCCGGAAGCUUGUGAUGCCUCCAGCGAUUGCUCAGCCCUGCAGAGGUAUUACCUUCCUGCACCUGGAAAGGGAAACCAGUUCUCCAGCCCUGGUCCUUCUUCACGGCAGCCUGCGGCCCACCAGCUGCCAUUACGCCUUUCUCUGCCUCCCCGACCGUGGCAGUUUUGUGGGCAGGACGAGCCAGGGCUUCUGCAGGGCCUGGUUCCUGGGGCUCCCCCACGGGCCCCCGGAAGAGGUGAUGUGCCAAAUGUCUUGUGCACAUUCGAAAUGGAAUUCAAAUCAUUGCAACGUGACACACAUCAAGGACUUCCACGGGCAGCACCCGCCCUCCGCCCGCCCCGACUUAUGACUUCAUUCUUCUGUUAACGAUAAAAUCAUGCACGGCCGCAGUUAAAGCCCAGCCUGACACCAGAGGACGCGACAGCCCUGCCCAUCCCUCGGGCUCACGGGCAACUCAGCUGUGCACCGCGACCUCACAAUGGUUGACUUUGUCCACAUCCCCUACUGUAUUUCUACACGACAGCACCGUAAAAAAUACUAAUUGAUCUUGAGAUCGCUGCAGCACAGACACAAACCAGCUCGGAGCUGCUCUGUCACCGGGGAGUCCUAGGGGAAGGGAGGAGGCAAAGUGAUUAACGACACCAGCACGGAAGGUUUUCUCUCAAAUGAGAUGCUCAUCCUCGGACGUGCCCGGGACGCAGAGGAGAGGGAAGAGCACUGGACUUGGAGUCAGAAGGUCUGCACUUGGACCUCAGCUCUGCAGACCUGAGCACAGCACCUGCAUCUCAGGGCCCCGGUGACUUUAUCUGAGAAUGCAGCCAUGGCCUUGCUCUGUGUGCUGCAUCCGUUCUGCCAAAACCCAUCAGUGUUUUCUUUACACCCUGACCCUUAUUGGUAAAAAAUGAAGGAUGUUCUUAAAUAAAUAGGAUAUCAUAUAUAGGUAUGUACA